GUCUAUAUACGUAUAGCAUAUCAAUAAGCGGAGGAAAAGAAACUAACUAGGAUUCCCCUCAGUAACGGCGAGUGAAGCGGGAAGAGCUCAAAUUUGAAAUCUUCAAGGUUCUACCUUGACGAAUUGUAGUUUAAAGAAGUGUUUUCUGUUGGAGUUUUGGUAAAAGUUCUUUGGAAUAGGACAUCAUAGAGGGUGAGAAUCCCGUAUUUGACCAUUAUUUCCAACUUUGUGAUACACUUUCAAAGAGUCGGAUUGUUUGGGAAUGCAGUCCAAAAUGGGUGGUAAAUUUCAUCUAAGGCUAAAUACUGGCGAGAGACCGAUAGCGAACAAGUACCGUGAGGGAAAGAUGAAAAGAACUUUGAAAAGAGAGUUAAACAGUACGUGAAAUUGUCAAAAGGGAAGCGUUUGACACCAGUGUUGUUUUCUCGAAAAUCAAUUAAAAAUAAGAUUGAUUUUGUGUUGUAUUGACCUUCAUCAGCUUUCUUCACUCUUUUCUUGUCUUUUUUAAUGCACUUUUCGUUUAACAAGUCAACAUCAAUUUCUUUUGUUGUAAAAGAGGUCAUUGGAAGGUGGCUUUCUUUUCGGAUGAAAGUGUUUAUAGCCUUUGGCCUCUGCAAUCGGAGAGAUUGAGGUCUGCAGCGUAGAUCCUUCGGGGUUAGAUACGUAGAUGCUAAGUUAUAGUUUUUAUAGACAACUUGUUGACUAUAAUCAGUCAUGUAGCUUACUCGCUUAUGGCUAUUUUACCUACGCUUAGGAUGUUGACGAUCAGCUGAGCGCG
rnacentral:rRNA from 1 species